GACGAACGCUGGCGGCGUGCCUAAUACAUGCAAGUCGAGCGGAACUGGGGGAGCUUGCUCCUUCCAGUUUAGCGGCGGACGGGUGAGUAACACGUGGGCAACCUGCCCUGCAGAUCGGGAUAACUCCGGGAAACCGGUGCUAAUACCGAAUAGUUUGGCGCCUCUCCUGAGGCGCUACGGAAAGACGGUUUCGGCUGUCACUGCAGGAUGGGCCCGCGGCGCAGUAGCUAGUUGGUGGGGUAACGGCCCACCAAGGCGACGAUGCGUAGCCGACCUGAGAGGGUGACCGGCCACACUGGGACUGAGACACGGCCCAGACUCCUACGGGAGGCAGCAGUAGGGAAUCUUCCGCAAUGGACGCAAGUCUGACGAAGCGACGCCGCGUGAGUGACGAAGGUUUUCGGAUCGUAAAACUCUGUUGUGAGGGAAGAACACGUACCAACUAACUAUUGGUACCUUGACGGUACCUCACCAGAAAGCCACGGCUAACUACGUGCCAGCCGCCGCCGUAA
rnacentral:rRNA from 1 species